rnacentral:lncRNA from 1 species
UAGCUGCCUAGGUUAAAGAUCCAAACUGGGACGGGGGUAGAGGUGGCUGCUGGGGGACAUUCGCGACAGGACUGGAAGUAGGGGCAGAUGAGAAAGGGAGGCUUGAAAUGUGGAAACAGCUCUUUCCUCCCUCACCUCCACCCUCCCCACCGGCUGCUGCCCCUCCUUGCUCUCCCUCCAGGCAGGUGGGGUAUGGGGCUCCACCUGCAACCGGUCCCCCAAGCUCUGCACCCCUGUCUCUGGAGUGCACUUCCUCCUGACCUUAACCUCCUAGGAGACUUGGCUGCGUUUAGGAGCUGCUGGGAAGGAACCAGAAGAUGGAGUGGCUGAGUCCCAGCGGAGAGGCAGGUCCCUAGAUGGAGGUCCCAGAGGAUGCAGGAGGUGGGGGUGUCCGGCACCGGUUGAGGGAACUUCUGAGCUGGUGAAGACAGGAGGCGAAAGGGAAGGGCCAGGCUGACACCUUAUGAACUGGCUUUGAUGUUCAUGUAGGGGGAGGUGGAGAAGCUCAGUGGGGAGAAGAGGUUCUGGUCCUGAGGCCCCCAGCUCCCAGGGCUGUUUGCGAGCCUCAUCCCUUGGAGUCCAGUGUAGCAGGGGUUACCCCUCGCCCCACUCCCAAGGGAGGGAAAAGGCCUCGUUCAGGUUUAGUCCGCUGAUGAGUGGCAGGGACGUGUUCCGAGUCGGCCGUCCAGGCAUUAAGUGCGUGCCCUUGAGAAUCGCUCUCCUCUUAGCGCCUCCAUUUCUAGGAGAUAUCAGGAAGCUGCCCCUGUAGGUGAGUGAGCGUCCCUUCCUCUCCUGUCUGUCUCUGUUUUCCCUCUGGACAGACCUCAGUGGAUCCAGAAGCUUCCAGUGGAAGCUGAGUUGGGCACAGGACUAGAAGAGCCCCUUCCCUUCUGGCUGAUGGCCGCACGCUCUGCCCUGUGCCCACACUCUCACCCGCCAGGAGCUGACUCCAGCGGGAACACACCGCACAUUCUGAAAGUCAGACCUGUGCAAAGUCUGAAUUGGCAACCAGGGAGCUAGGUGAACAGGCACAUGAGAGUGAAGCAGGGGAGCUGGUCUUCACAGUCACCCAACAGACUUGAUUUGAGAGAGCAGAACCCCUCAUCCCAGAUGUAGACACAGAGCCCGGAAAGGUCCCUGCCCCCACCAGCCCUCCAGUUGUCUGAGAUCUUCAUUUGUACCUUCCCACCGGGGUGUCCAAGGCAACCUCCUGAGCUGGGGGGCGGGCCAUGGAUUGAGCCCUUAUGAGGUGCCAGACCCUUUGUUAUUUAGCCCCCUCUGCAGGGGUGCCUGGGUGGCACAGUGCCUUCACCUCAGGUCGUGAUCCCGUGGGAAGCAAGCCCCACAUCCGGCUCUCCACUCAGCAGGGAGUCCGCUUCUCCCUCUCCCUCUGCCUGCCACUUCCCCCCCCUUGUGCUCUCUGUCUCUCAAAAUAAAUAAAUAAAAUCUUAAAAAAAAAAAAAUCCC